rnacentral:rRNA from 1 species
GACGAACGCUGGCGGCGUGCCUAACACAUGCAAGUUGAGCGACGAACCAGGGCUUGCCCUGGGGCAAAGCAGCGAACGGGUGAGUAACACGUGGGUAACCUACCCCGAUAACCGGGACAACCCGAGGAAACUCGGGCUAAUACCGGAUGUGCUCACUGGACUUCGGUUCAGUGCGUAAAGGAAGCUUCGGCCUCCGUAUCGGGAGGGGCCCGCGGCCCAUUAGUUUGUUGGUGAGGUAACGGCUCACCAAGACCGCGAUGGGUAGCUGGUCUGAGAGGACGAUCAGCCACACUGGGACUGAGACACGGCCCAGACUCCUACGGGAGGCAGCAGUGGGGAAUCUUGCGCAAAGCGCGAAAGCGUGACGCAGCAACGCCGCGUGGGGGAAGAAGGCCUUCGGGUUGUAAAACCCUUUCAGGAGGGACGAAGGUUCGGCGGUGAAUAGCCGUCCGGACUGACGGUACCUCCACAAGAAGCCCCGGCUAACUACGUG